UGCGGGCUGAUCGGAUGUCGGGAGAUGGUAUGCCAUCAUCGGAGAAGGUGCACAUAGUGAAGACUGAAGGUGAGAGCAAGGAGUUGCCGAUAAACGAUGGUGCUGGUCUCUGCUCGGCACUGGAAGAGAGAGACCUACAAAGAAAGUCCCGUCGGAGGUAGCUCUGGCGAGGAUCCUUCGACGCUCAAGUCAGUGAGGUAACUCAAUAUAGUGAAAGAGCGGCAGAGUUUUGGCACUG
rnacentral:lncRNA from 1 species